UACGGAGGGUGCAAGCGUUGUUCGGAAUUAUUGGGCGUAAAGCGUGCGUAGGCGGACACUUAAGUCUGAUGUGAAAUCCCUCGGCUCAACCGAGGACGUGCAUUGGAUACUGGGUGUCUUGAGUCCUGGAGGGGAGAGCGGAAUUCCCAGUGUAGAGGUGAAAUUCGUAGAUAUUGGGAGGAACACCAGCGGCGAAAGCGGCUCUCUGGACAGUGACUGACGCUGAGGCACGAAAGCAUAGGUAGCAAACAGG
rnacentral:rRNA from 1 species